CAGGCUGCUAAAACGCUUAACGUCUGAGCAUGAAAACUUAAGGAUUAGGAUCAGGAAUAGGCCAUCUGGCCUUCCCAACUGCCUCUGACAUUCAUCGAAAUCAUCGCCUGAUUUAUCUCUGAUCUGCUUCCUGUCUUGUCCACGUGAUCCCAUUAACAGUGGCCCGGUCUCUGCCUUUAAUGGGCUCCGUGAGUGAGAUUCCCCAGCUCCCCAGGGAGGGAGUCCUGCACAUUUAUUCAGCCUGGCACGAUUCUAUCAGGCGUGGAGCUGAACUGUACCGAUGGGCAAAGAGACAGAGUCAACGAGUCAGCCACAUGGACACAGGGCUUCCAAAUCACAGUGGCAAUCCGACCUAGAGCCUUUUGCCUCUGGUGGCUGGGGUUCUGUAAGUCUAUGAUCUGCAGCUGCACUUAAACAGCAGUUUUUCACGGCAGAUGGAGCUCACCGCACGGCCGUUUCCUCAUAUCCAGGGGUGGCCUGGAAGAUGCACGCCUCUGGAUGACGUCAGUCACCAACUGAAGCAUCGCUGGAGAAGGAACAUUCGAAUUUCACGACAGCACAUGGAGCUGACAGAGGUCUCUGUACUCGAGUUAUCGCUCCAUCUCUCCACUUCACUCAAUGGUGGGAAGAAUUUGCUGCCAACUCUCCAGUCGGAGAAUCUCGGAAUAAAAAGUGAUGUGGCAGAUUGUAACAUCACAACAGCGAGUCCCCCCUUUCGCUGUGAAAUGGCUGACAUCUCUCUGUCCCUCGCUAGCGAGGGAGCGAGCCUGUGGCAUGUCAAACUGUCGGGUAAACCAUAGUUCUGGUUGACUGCAGAUCAUGGUCUCUCUUUGCUGUUACUUGCUUGGUGAG